UCUUUUUUCUGUUGUCUCUCUUCUACCUACAUUUUUUUUUUUUGACAGAUAGAAAUUUUAUUAAAGCAAAAGACCGCUAUGGGUUAAAGUUCCAUAAUUCAUUCAAGCCAUUUAUGCUUUUUUGAAUUUAAUAUUCAGCUUCGUCAAGAAGGGAAUGGCAAAAUUCAAGGAUAGGACUGAAGAUGUUGUGCGGCAUUGUGCUGUUUCAUUAGGGUAUAAUGAGCAAGAACUACGGGUGUAGAUUCCGUGCUGCUUGCUUGAGCUAUUUGAGUUAAAUCUUUAACAUUGAUGUCUCCAAGUGGCAGUACAGUUGACAAGAGUUUCCAAGUGGCAGUACAAGUUGGCAAGAACUUUGGGUCUCUCGGUCAUACUGGUUUGUCUCAAGUUUGAACUUUCUAGUAAGCUGAAUACUAAAAACCCUUGAUGUCUUACAGGUUCGUGCUUUGGAGCGGGCGCUGGUGUCCUGGGUAUAGGAAAGCAAGCAAAGCUCCGAUUCCUAGUUCUAAAAAAAGAAAGAAUAAUAAAAUUCUUUUAACAUUGGUACUAAUUUUGAGUGAGAGGCUCCAUUCGGUAACAUCACAAUUUGAUAAGAUAAGAGCCAUUCGAUUUCAAGAUAUCAUAAACAAAGCAGUACCAAGAAGAAAACCAAACCAGGUAACUAAACCUCGUUCUGCAGAUACCCCUGAAUAUAAUAAUACGGAGCUGAAGGAAACUACUACUUUUGAGCAUGAACCUGUCCGAGCCCAACAGCAACUGUUGGAUGAUGAAACUCGCACUUCAGUCCAAGAAACAGAAACUAAGAUGGUUGAGAUGUCUGCUUUGAAUCACCUUAUGUCUACCCACGUUUUGCAACAAGCACAACAGAUUGAAUUUCUUUAUGAACAGGCUGUUAAAACUACGAAGAAUGUUGAGCUCGAGGUAAUAAAGAACUUUCCCAAGCAAUUCAGCGGAAUAGCAGCAGCAGAACGUUCCUUCUUCUUUUUCUAUUUGUGCUCACCUUUUCAAUUCUUUUUCUUGAUUGGUAUAGUUGAUUGGAUUGGGUGUUGUAUCACAUUUAUGUUUUCCAUUCACAUAGAAGCAAGAAAAAGAUGAAAGCACCAAUGAAAAUGUAGAUCACAUUUUUGUUACUGUAACUAUUUUUCUUUUUAAAUAUCUAAACUCAAGUAGUUACAUUGUAAGUGGAUUCCAAGGUAAAAUUUGGUGGGAAAGGAAUCAUAUAACUAUCUUCCUUGAAGAAACUAAUCUACUUGAGGGCUGGCUUCUCAUUUUGCAGCUGUUAUACCACAGGAGUGAACUCAUCUGCUACUUCAAUUUCUCAACGUGCCAUGCAUUAAUUUGUAGCUGCUGAAGCAUGAAGUUUUCCUGUGCCAGGUGUACAUCCCAUGGCCUUUUCUCUGUAUGACCAGAUGAUUUUCAGCCUCAAGAUUUGCUUUUUUUCGAGCUAUGCUUCUCACCAUCAGACUUGCUGCAAAUGCAACCAGGAUAAGGAUUGGCGUAGAACUUGUCCUCCAGUUUUGAAGACUUCCCGGGACGGCUUGGAUAUGCCAACUUGUUUCCAAGGUGUUCGAUCUCUGGAUUAAACCUUAAAGCUUCGUACAUUGCCCGACAUCGUAGCUUUUGUGUCGAUUCAGCGACGCCACUGUUAGCUAGACGAGAGUUGUGAAGAAUACGCACAUUGUGUCGAUUCGAGGGAGAUGCCAUAUGCAGUCUAUAAUAACGAGGAACCAAGAAAAUGGGGCAGUUUCAAAGGACUUGAUAGCAGCAAUUUCUGAGGGGAGAGACUCUACUACAUGAACUUCAUCUCUCACAACUUGUAUGAAGUUUUGCCUUUGAAAUCACUGUAGAAAAGGAUUCUUAUUAAAUUUUUUAGAAUUGGAAUAAGAACUCCUUUGACGUUGUUUACUAAAUUGUCUGGAAUUGAUAUUCUUUCUAGCUAA